rnacentral:rRNA from 1 species
CAGUAGCCACGGGAAUACGAGGGGGGCAAGCGUUGUUCGGAAUUAUUGGGCGUAAAGGCUGCGUAGGCGGCUUGACAAGUCUUGUGUGAAAUCUAUGGGCUCAACCCAUAGUCUGCACGGGAAACUGUCGGGCUUGAGAAUGGGAGAGGUGAGUGGAAUUUCCGGUGUAGCGGUGAAAUGCGUAGAUAUCGGAAGGAACACCUGUGGCGAAAGCGGCUCACUGGACCAUUUCUGACGCUGAUGCACGAAAGCUAGGGGAGCAAACAGGAUUAGAUACCCCCGUAGUCCCUGUCUCUUAUAC